UUUGUCUUCUUUGUUUCGUUCGUAACAACACCCGUACAAAUAUUGUUAACGCUGGGUGGCGUAACUAUAAGAAUUCGGCCCAAACGCGUAGGUAGGUAGAUAGAUGUGUACACGAUUUCAAGCGUUCCUUUCGUAUUGGAUUCAAAUGUAAAAAAGACUAUUAACCCCGUGAUAAAGUUAGAAGUAGUUAGGUACGUAAGGAUACACUCUGACAUAUUAUACUAGUAGUUUUAAAGUUUCUAGUAUAUUUUUAUCGUAUAAAAUAGGUAAAUACAUAAUAUGCAUACAGUGUGUUUCUCAUUGAAAAAGUUUACUCGUCCGAUUUGCAGUCUGACGGGGAACCUCGGAUUGACAGUCGAGGUAAACCUUUUUUUCUUUAAUACUUUCCCGAAUCAGAUUACAUAAAACUUCACUAUCUCCAUUUUCAAUUAUGGGCGUAUCCUGUACGUACAUUAAAUUGUACUUGGACCAAAAUUAUAUCUAUUCUGUGAUUCGAAUGCCCCGUAUAACAGGACUGCAUUUUAAGUUUGAAUACUUAAUAUGAAAUAGUGAACGUGAAGUGGAAAUUUGUAGAUAAUAGAUUUCGUUGUCAACAUGUAUUAACUCACUUAUUGAAUAUAAACCGUAUCAAUUAAUCAUCUCGCACACCAGCCAUGGUUGUCGGAUGCAUCGAGAAGCAAUCGGAUUGG